ensembl:lncRNA
CUGCAGGCCUCGGCGGCCAAGGCGGGCGGCCCGGGCGCCUCGGCGCUGGCGCGCUCGCCCUUCUCCAUCGAGAGCAUCAUCGGGGGCGGCCGUGGGCCCGGCCGCCGCUCUCACCCGCUCGCUCGUGGCCGCCGCCGCCGCUGCCGCCUCCUCCGUCUCCUCGUCGGCCGCCCUGGGGACUCUGCACCAAGGGACUGCCCUGUCCAGUGUCGAGAACUUUACUGCUAGGAUCUCAAAUUGUUAAUAACGCUAUGUUAGCGCGCUUGAGAAAGAGAAGCCCACCUAAGGAAGAGGAGACAUUGGAACCCGGAAGGUCCGGAUGUCACUGGCGCCCUGAGUGGACAGGCUUUAGCAGGCGGAGCCCAAACCGCACAAGCACUGCUGGCGGGCCUCAAAGCCUUCUGUAACGCAUAGAUCUGAAUUUUUAUCUGAAAGUAAUUAGGGAGAGCGCGCGAAAAUAAAAAUCGUGUAUCUCACUAUUUGCGUGAUGCUUGGGUAUCCUGAACCUGGGAGUCCCGGCUAAUCCCUUUCUCUAUCCAAAUUUCCGCAUCUUUAAAAAAGUGCAGGGACGCGCUCCGCCUCCCAGGCUGUCAGUGCUUUUAAGAGAAUGGCAAGAAAGCCUGGGCGAUCCAGCGCUGUCUUCGGUCCGGGACAGGAGCCGGGGUCCCGCUUCCCCCGCAAGUGCGUCGUGAGUCCUGAAUCCUGAGAAAAGGUGAAGCCGACCCGCCUGCCUCAGUCUCGAGUUUUUCGUCCUGCGAGUGCAGCUCCUCCACUACCGCCGGGUUUGGGGUUCCCCCGUCGGCUUUGCUGGCUCCGCGGGCCUGGCCGACCUAUGGGAAAGCGAAGGCCGCGGAGACAGGCGAGGGGUUGGCCGUGGGCCGCCAGGCGAGGGCCGCGGGGCAAGCGAGGAGUGAACCACGGCAGUGGGCCCGGUGAGCCAGGAGCUCGGGGCGCGCCCCGUCAGGCCGCGGGGGCGAGCAGGUGCUGGAACAAAGGCCGCCCGGCUACCGCGGCCUUUGAUGGGCCAGGACGUCUCCUCCCGGGGCUCCUCAUUCGCAUGCAAAUCCAGCUCUGGUCCCCUUUUCUUUGAAGGCAAACAGAAGGAUGUUUGUGUGUUUGUAAGGACGAAACCGGCUUGAACAAGCCUUCCUCAAUAGGCUGGGUCUCGAAAAAUAAACCAGUUGGACAAACAUUGGACACCAGCUCUCCUCCUCCCGACUACAAAGUGUGGAUUUGCUACAACUCAUUAACCCGAGGCUUUUCUCCCCUUCUCCUUGUUUCUCUGCUCAUCAAACGCCCCCGUAGAGCCUGGAGACAAAUGACCGAAGCGCAGUCGGGAGGGAAUUGCAGUUAAUAGGGAGAGGGAUAUAUUGGGGCUAAUGGUUCAGGCAGCUCCCGGAGAAGGACCACACAAAAAGGAGCCUCUCC